AUCUAAGCAUGACUCGUCUAACUGAUGCUCAGGCACAAGUACGCAAUCGAGCCCUUGUAUUCCGUACCCUCUCUCUCUCUCUCUCUCUCUCUCUCUCUUCCUUGGCUGCCUUAUCGACUUCGGCCGCCGCCACCACCACCGAGACAGAGACAGAGACAGAGACACUGUGACGGUCGGCAAGAUGAGUCGCUACCACACGAAGCCUCGUCGUAGGCGUCACUCUUCUGAUAGCUCCGACGAUUACAGCUACUCACUUGUGGAGACAAGUCAACCGUUCAUUGAAGGAGAUGGGUCCUUUUAUCUAGCAACUGUGUCAUGCGAUUGUGGCUAAUUCCAAAAAUGGAUGGAGUUUGAAUGAAAUAGGAGCGAGCAAAAUGGAAAAAGUUGCUGGUGUAGGAAGUUGGUAUUGUUCUUCUGAUGGUGAGCAUGACGCAUCUAAUCAUACAAAGAGGUGAAAACAGAACGACAAACCUAAGAAGAACAAGGAAAGGACAAAGGGAAGAGUCAUCGCCACAGACGUCAUAAGCAUAAAGUUAAAGAGGUAGUCCACUAAUCUCUCUGUAGCUCUCGUCUCCAUACUUUUAUCUGUUGUGUGAGCCAUAUAUUAGAGUGUAUGGCAUCAUUAAAUCGAUUGUGAUUCUUAUCAAACAUAAUUUGAUAUAUGGAUUGCUUAUUGUAGGCAGGUUUUGCAGUAAUAUGAAAAAUGAACAACUAAACAAUGCUUCGACAUCUGAUGAGAAAAAUGAUGAGUGCUUUUAUUCAGAAUCGUAGUUUGAGAUAUUAAAUACAGAUAUAUGGCUUAAUUUUCUAAUCACAUGCAUGUGCACCUCAUCUUCCAUGUAAGGGGGCUUGUUCCAUGCUUUUGCUCUUAUCAAUUUGAGAAUGUGGACCUACUUGUUAAUAUAUGGCUAUUUCCAAAGUGAAAACAUUGCUUUAUGAUGUGACAUUGCUGUCAAUUUGAAAAGCAUCAAAUUGAAUAUGAAGAAUGACAUGGCUACCCUGCUAUGGAAAAACAAGUUCAACUUACCAGUAUUUCAACUUGAUGCUUUUCAAUCCAGGUAUUAUAUUUGUCACUAACUGCAGCAGCAAGAGGUAGAUGACUAUUAUAAAGUAGUAGCACAUCUUUAUGGCAUGUCUCAAAAGGAAUAUAUUAAAAAAUAGGCUAAAUUACACUGACCUCCCCUGAGGUUUAAACAAAAUACAACAAGUCUGACAAUUUUGGCAUAAUUACACCGACCUCCCUUCUAAUAAGGCUAAAAGAACCUGAACUAAUGUAGAUGGUGUGAAGACACAAAGAUAAAUAAGGUAAAUUAUACAUUUAAGUUUAUAAGAAAUGACGACAUCAUUUUUCUAUCCAUAAUUAACAAAUUUUUGAUAUUUGUUAUAAAAAUGGAGCUAAGUGUUAUGUAAAUUAAAAUGAUAAGGGAUCCCAAUGGAAUUAUGCAAACUUGUGAAGCUUAUUAUAUUUUCUCUAAACCUCAAGGGGGUCAGUGUAAUUUACCCUAAAAAAAUAUGUGGCGAGGUGGUGGUGCUUUGGGUUUUUAGCUUGCAUGUGAUUGGAACUUCUACACUAUUGUUUCAUGAAGUUCUGGAAUUUCAUGAGUCAUGCAUACGCGGAAUUAUUGUUAUUUUUUAUAAUAAUAAUCUUUUUUGAUAGAUAAUUGUUUUGUUGUUAUUAUUUGUUAUUGCUGUGACUUGCUUCUGUUUUUUUGGUUUUUUGAAUAUGUUUUCUUCCACAUAUGAGGUGCUUAUAUUGCUUUCUGCCUUUCUAUGGAUGGCUCUUCGAAAUUGGAGCUGGGGUCUGUAACAUGUUGACUACUUCAUCAACUUUACCUGGAUGAUGUUUCUGGCUCGGGGUUGUCCUGAAAAUGGAGCCAUAUAUAGAAUCAGCAGGAUGAGAGAAGUAGCAGCCCUGUGCAACUUUCAAAGUUUCUAGGGUGUGACAAAGAGGAAGAUGUCCGCUGCAAUGUUGUCUGUGGCAAGAAGAUUAUGUUGAAGCUUGAGAAAUCGAAGGAGGACAAGUUGGCAGAAAAUAAGCAAACUGAAUUGCUGAAAUUCUUGAAUGCUAGUUAUGAUUGAUUUUUGGAGUUAGCGUUUGAAGUGAAGGAUUGGUGAUGUGCGCUGCACGUCUGAAGGGAAAGACUCAUGAUCCUCUGGCUUUGCUGAUGACUGAAUUAUGCUGUCCAAUAAUACUUUUGUGUUUGCUAUGUGGUAGAGAAAUGUAUACACUGGUUCUUUGCAGCCUUCAGUGUUUCUUGAGAGUUUUGAUAAGGUGAUAUAUUAUAUGAAAUUGAAGUUAUUUUAUGUGGAUUUUAUCAUUGUUUUGAUACUCAAUUUUUUGGUGUUAUUUAUAUGUAUCCUUGAGAUAGAACAAGAUUUUUAGGCUUUGAGACUGUUAUAAUAUGUUAUGCCAUCUGUUUACUUUGAGA